rnacentral:rRNA from 1 species
AUCUACAGUCAUGCUACCCUGAACAAGCCCUAUCCCGUCUGAUCUCAGAAGCUAAGCAGGGUCGGGCCUGGUUAGUACUUGGAUGGGAGACCACCUAGGAAGACCAGGCACUGUAGGUG